UAUGGCCACAACACAUUGAAAAAACAGUUCUCAUAUGAUCACCAAAGUUAAGCAAUGUUGAGCCUGAUCAGUACAUUGAUGGGUGAACACUUGGGAAUACCAGGUUCUGUAAG